GACCAGUGUGGUUUAAUGGUUAGGGUGUUGGACUAAGACUCUGGAGAGCAGGGUUCAAUCCCCCACUUGGCCA